rnacentral:rRNA from 1 species
GAGGGGCGCGAGAUAACUCUCUCUAAGGAACUCGGCAAAAUGGCCCCGUAACUUCGGGAGAAGGGGUGCCACCGCAAGGUGGUCGCAGUGAAGAGGCCCAGGCGACUGUUUACCAAAAACACAGGUCUCCGCUAAGUCGCAAGACGAUGUAUGGGGGCUGACGCCUGCCCAGUGCCGGAAGGUUAAGGAAGCUGGUCAGCGCAAGCGAAGCUGGCGACUGAAGCCCCGGUGAACGGCGGCCGUAACUAUAACGGUCCUAAGGUAGCGAAAUUCCUUGUCGGGUAAGUUCCGACCCGCACGAAAGGCGUAACGAUCUGGGCGCUGUCUCGGAGAGAGGCUCGGCGAAAUAGAAUUGUCUGUGAAGAUGCGGACUACGUGCACCCGGACAGAAAGACCCUAUGAAGCUUUACUGUAGCUUGGUAUUGUGCCCGGGCUCUGAAUGCGCAGGAUAGGUGGGAGGCUUUGAUCCAUUGCUUGCGGGUGAUGGUGAGCCAACGGUGAGAUACCACUCUUUCAGAGCUAGGGUUCUAACGGUCACCCGUUAUCCGGGGACCGGACAGUAUCAGGUGGGCAGUUUUGACUGGGGCGGUCGCCUCCUAAAAGGUAACGGAGGCGCGCAAAGGUUCCCUCAGGCUGGUUGGAAAUCAGCCGACGAGUGUAAAGGCAGAAGGGAGCUUGACUGUGAGACCUACAAGUCGAACAGGGACGAAAGUCGGCCUUAGUGAUCCGACGGUUCUGAGUGGAAGGGCCGUCGCUCAACGGAUAAAAGUUACUCUAGGAUAACAGGCUGAUCUCCCCCAAGAGUUCACAUCGACGGGGAGGUUUGGCACCUCGAUGUCGGCUCAUCGCAACCUGGGGCUGAAGUCGGUCCCAAGGGUUGGGCUGUUCGCCCAUUAAAGCGGUACGCGAGCUGGGUUCAGAACGUCGUGAGACAGUUCGGUCCAUAUCCGGUGCAUGCGCAGGAACAUUGAGAGGAUUUCUCCCUAGUACGAGAGGACCGGGAGGAACGCACCUCUGGUGUGCCAGUUAUCGUGCCAACGGUAAACGCUGGGUAGCCAUGUGCGGAGCGGAUAACCGCUGAAAGCAUCUAAGUGGGAAGCCCACCUCAAGAUGAGUGUUCCCAUGGCAUAAGCCAGUAAGGUCACGGGAAGAACACCCGUUGAUAGGCUCUACGUGGAAGCGUGGUAACACGUGAAGCGGAGGAGUACUAAUAGACCGAGGGCUUGAC